CUGUGCUAGACGGGGAGCUAGCGGUGCCCUGUACCUGCAAUCCGCUACAGCAGGGUCGAAUUCCUCUCUGAGGUCCGCUCGUCGGAUAGCAAGCAAUAAUAAGCGGUGUUGAUCGUUAAGUCCUGCGCAACAAAGUAGUGUCAAACCCCGUCAGGACCGGAAGGUAGCAGCGGUAAGCAUGAUCUUUGUGUGCCGCAGGGGUGCUUGGCGGGAGCUGGCUGUUGGCGCUCGUUAUCUGAAAAGAGAGAUCGAAGAGAGGUGCACAG
rnacentral:SRP_RNA from 1 species